UACGGGGGGGGCAAGCGUUGUUCGGAAUUACUGGGCGUAAAGGGCGCGUAGGCGGUUCGCUAAGUUGGAUGUGAAAACUCUGGGCUCAACCCAGAGCCUGCAUCCAAAACUGGCGGGCUAGAGUUCUGGAGGGGGUAGCGGAAUUCCUGGUGUAGCGGUGAAAUGCGCAGAUAUCGGGAAGAACACCCGUGGCGAAGGCGGCUCUCUGGGACGGUACUGACGCUGAGACGCGAAAGCGUGGGGAGCGAACAGG
rnacentral:rRNA from 1 species